UGGGGAAUAUUGGACAAUGGGCGCAAGCCUGAUCCAGCAAUACCGCGUGUGUGAAGAAGGCCUGAGGGUUGUAAAGCACUUUCAAUUGGGAGGAAAACCUGCCGGUCAAUACCCGGCAGCUUGACAUUACCUUUAGAAGAAGCACCGGCUAACUCCGUGCCAGCAGCCGCGGUAAUACGGAGGGUGCAAGCGUUAAUCGGAAUUACUGGGCGUAAAGCGUGCGUAGUCGGCUUUUCAAGUCGGGUGUGAAAGCCCCGGGCUCAACCUGGGAAUUGCAUUCGAUACUGGAUCGCUAGAGUUCGGCAGAGGGAAGCGGAAUUUCGGG
rnacentral:rRNA from 1 species